CGAGGUCAACCUUUGGAAAAUUGGGGUUUUACGGCAAGAGUCCCUCCGGAUCCCAGUGCGAGACGUAAAGUUACUACGCAAAGGAGGCUCCGAGAGGGUCCGCCACUACCUUUGAGGGCCUACAUCAGCUGUAGGGCCCCAACACCAAGCAGAGCUUGAGGGUUGAAAUGACGCUCGAACAGGCAUGCCCGCCAGAAUGCUGGCGGGCGCAAUGUGCGUUCAAAGAUUCGAUGAUUCACUGAAUUCUGCAAUUCACAUUACUUAUCGCAUUUCGCUGCGUUCUUCAUCGAUGCCAGAACCAAGAGAUCCGUUGUUAAAAGUUUUGAUUAUUUGCUUGUACCACUCAGAAGAAACGUCGUUAAAUCAGAGUUUGGUUAUCCUCCGGCGGGCGCCGACCCGCCCGGAGGCGGGAGGCCGGGAGGGUCGCGGAGACCCUACCCGCCGAAGCAACAGUUAUAGGUAUGUUCACAAAGGGUUGUAGAGCGUA
rnacentral:misc_RNA from 1 species